rnacentral:rRNA from 1 species
GAUGAACGCUGGCGGCGUGCUUAACACAUGCAAGUCGAGCGAGAAGUUUUGAAAAGAUUCUUCGGAUGAAAUUUAAAAUGGAAAGCGGCGGACGGGUGAGUAACGCGUAGGCAACCUGCCCCAUACAAAGGGAUAGCAUUUGGAAACGAAUAUUAAUACCUUAUGAAACUUACCUAGUGCAUGCUAGGUAGGUCAAAGAUUUAUCGGUAUGGGAUGGGCCUGCGUCUGAUUAGCUAGUUGGUGAGGUACGGCUCACCAAGGCGACGAUCAGUAGCCGACCUGAGAGGGUGAACGGCCACAUUGGAACUGAGACACGGUCCAAACUCCUACGGGAAGCAGCAGUGGGGAAUAUUGCACAAUGGGGGAAACCCUGAUGCAGCAACGCCGCGUGAACGAUGAAGGCCUUUGGGUCGUAAAGUUCUGUUCUAGGUGAUGAAAACUGACAGUAACCUAGGAGAAAGCCCCGGCUAACUCCGU